AGAAUUCAAAUGAAGUAAUCAAAACACAAUGAUCAAAUGUGAAUGAAAUCAUCAUCAACCAAUGUAAAACAGAAGAGAAAUGAAGAUUAGAAGUCAACAAAGUCAAACAUAUUUUUUUGGUAUUUUUGGAAUUAAAAUAAAUGCAAAAUUUAAAUGGACAAAAUAUGGUCAAACUUCAAAUUCAAUUCAAAUCAACUUCAAC
rnacentral:lncRNA from 1 species